rnacentral:lncRNA from 1 species
AUGGUGUGUUGUGUGUGGUGUUGUUUACGUCUGUAUGUGUGUGUGCGUGUGUGUUGUGUGUUUUACGUCGUGUGUGUGUGUGUGUGUGUGUUUACGUCUGUGUGUGUGUGUGUGUGUUUACGUCUGUAUGUGUUGUGUGGUGUGUGUUUACGUCUGUGUGUGUGUGUGUGUGUGUGUGUUGUGUUUACGUGUGUGUGUGUGUGUGUUUACGUCUGUGUGUGUGUGUGUGUGGUGUUGUUUACGUCUGUGUGUGUGUGUGUGUGUUACGUCUGUGUGUGUGUGUGUGUGUGUUGUGUUUACGUCUGUGUGGUGUGUGUGUCGUGUGUGUUUACGUCUGUGUGUGUGUGUGUUUACGUCUGUGUGUGUGUGUGUGUGUGUGGGUUUACGUCUGUAUGUGUGUGUGUGUGUGUGUUUACGUCUGUGUGUGUGUGUUGUGUGUGUGUGUGUGUGUUGUCUGUAUGUGUGUGUGUGUGUGUUUACGUCUGUGUGUGUGUGUGUGUGUGUGUUACGUCUGUGUGUGUGUGUGUGUGUUUACGUCUGUAUGUGUUUGUGUGUGUGGUGUGGUGUUUACGUCGUAUGUGUGUGUGUGUGUGUGUGUGUGUGUGUUGUUUAGUCUUGUGUGUGUGUGUGUGUGUGUUUACGUCUAUGUGUGUUGGUGUGGUUUACGUCUGUGUGUGUGUGUGUGUGUUUACGUCUGUGUGUGUUGUGUGUGUGUUUCGUCUGUGUGUGUGUGUGUGUGUUACGUCUGUAUGUGUUGUGUGUGUGUUGUUUACGUCUGUGUGUGUGUGUGUGUGUGUGUGUUUACGUCUGUGUGUGUGUGUGUUUACGUCUGUGUGUGUUGUGUGUGUGUGUGUUUCCGUCUGUGUGUGUUGUGUGGUGUUUACGUCUGGUGUGUGUGUGUGUUUACGUCUGUGUGUGUGUGUUUACGUCUGUGUGUGUGUGUGUGUGUGUUGUGUGUGUGUGUUACGUUCUUUGUGUGUGUGUGUGUGUUUACGUCUGUGUUGGUGUGUGUGUUUACGUCUGUAUGUGUGUGUUGUGUGGUGUUUACGUCUGUGUGUGUGUGUGUGUGUUUACGUUUGUGUGUGUGUGUGUGUUUACGUCUGUGUGUGUGUUGUGUUACGUCUGUGUGUGUGUGUGUGUGUGUUUACGGUCUGUGUGUGUGUGUGUGUGUGUGUUUACGUCGUGUGUGUGUGUGUGUUUCUGUUUGUGUGUGUGUGUGUGUGUGUGUGUGUUACGUCGUGUGUGGUGUUGUGUGUGUUUGUGUGUGUUGUGUGUGUGUUACGUCUGUGUGUGUGUGUGUGUGUGUUUACGUCUUGUGUGUGUGUGUGUGUGUGUGUGUGUGUUUACGUCUGUGGUAGUCUGUGUGUGUGUGUGUUUACGUCUUGUAUGUUGUGUUUGUUGUGGUUUAGUCUGUUGGUUGUGUGUGUACGUCUGUGUGUGUGUGUGUGUGUGUGUAAACAUACAUUCUUACAAUUAAAAGCACAGAAACAUGUUUUUUUUUCUAUACAAGUUUAUUUACAAAAAUGUAUGAAAAUUCUCUUUUACAGCUCCUCACUAAUGAUAUACACACAUGCAGAUUCGGACUCUUCUUGUAGUAGUCACUAA